rnacentral:lncRNA from 1 species
AAUGAAGCAUCCUCCCUUUGGAUGGGCCCAGUCGUUUGUCUUAGCCAAACUAUGUGUUUUCUUAUAAACCUCACAGUGACCAACUUCAUGACCAGCUUCUUCAUUCUGAUUGUUAUACUCAAAAAAAUUAGAUUGAUAAAUGUAAAAUAUAUGAAAGAAAUGUUUUUUUACCAUUCUUACAUGAGUGGCCGCAACUGAACAAGAUCCACCCGUGUAUGGCAUGUAAUCUGGAUUGUUUGUUCUAUUUUCUGAUGCUUUUUCGGAUCUUUUUUUCCAAUCUUCUUUUAACCAAAUUUCAAUUAUUUCACUCCAUACUUCCGCAGAAAGGUAUAUCGAUGGAAAUCUAGCGCAAGAUCUAGUCAGUGUGUCAACUUUUGCCAAUUUCUUUGCCUCUUGUCUCGCUUUAUACAACCAACAUGUAUAAUUUAAUUGUACAUAAUUAUCAAAACAUUCACGAGUCAAUUGAAUGUCCUCAAAUGAGAAAUAGCACUACAUAAAGACGAAAACAUUACAUACGGAAAAAAAUGACAUAUGGAAAAAAUGACAAAUAAAUAAAUAAAUCAUACCAGAAAUUUGACGAAAAUAUUUUCCUUUUCCUCUUCUUUCCAAGAAGUCCAUUUAGUUAAAGGUGACGUUAUAUUACCUUUUACUAAUAUUCCUAUUUGACUUCUUACAUUGUUUGUAAAAGUCCUAUAAAAAACAAUCAAAUUAAAUAAUAAAAUAUAAUGAAUUAUAAUGAAAAUACUCACCCGCUCUUAAGAAUAGUGGCGGGAGUUGAUGCAUCCGGUUGUCUCAAUCCUUUUGUCCAUUUUCUUCGAUGUUCUUCAUCGAAGCGGUCCUCUACGAUUUCUUGAUCUAUUCUUGCAGAUUGUGAUCGUCCGUCGUUUGUUCGUUUACGACUCCGUCCGCGUGCCAUUUCUAAUGGAAUAUUUUCUAAAUGAAUAAAUAAAAUGAAAUUAUUCUGCUUGAAAAAA